GAUGAACGCUGGCGGCGUGCCUAAUACAUGCAAGUCGAGCGAACGGACGAGAAGCUUGCUUCUCUGAUGUUAGCGGCGGACGGGUGAGUAACACGUGGAUAACCUACCUAUAAGACUGGGAUAACUUCGGGAAACCGGAGCUAAUACCGGAUAAUAUUUUGAACCGCAUGGUUCAAAAGUGAAAGACGGUCUUGCUGUCACUUAUAGAUGGAUCCGCGCUGCACUAGCUAGUUGGUAAGGUAACGGCUUACCAAGGCAACGAUGCAUAGCCGACCUGAGAGGGUGAUCGGCCACACUGGAACUGAGACACGGUCCAGACUCCUACGGGAGGCAGCAGUAGGGAAUCUGCCGCAAUGGGCGAAAGCCUGACGGAGCAACGCCGCGUGAGUGAUGAAGGUCUUCGGAUCGUAAAACUCUGUUAUUAGGGAAGAACAUAUGUGUAAGUAACUGUGCACAUCUUGACGGUACCUAAUCAGAAAGCCACGGCUAACUACGUG
rnacentral:rRNA from 1 species